rnacentral:pre_miRNA from 1 species
AGUGGGAUAGCUGGGUCAAAUAGUGGUUCCAUUCCAAGUUUUCCAAGGAAUCUCCAUAUUGCUUUCCAGACUGGCUGCACCAAUUUGCAGUCCCACCAGCAAU